rnacentral:snRNA from 1 species
GUGCUCACUUCAGCAGCACAUAUACUAAAAUUAGGACAAUACGGAAAAGAUAGCAUUAUCCCUGUGCAAGGAUGACAGACAAAUUCAUGAAGCAUUCCAUAUUUUU